CCCCAAGUCUGCCUAAUUGGCUUGUUUCCAGCAUCAGCAGUUUAGUAAUAGACUGGAUUUGCAAUCUGGUAUCUUUAGAGUUUUCACCCAUUAGUAAGAACAAAUAAAUGAAAUACAUUCUUGCCUUUCUAGAGGAUCCAAGAGUCAGUCUUGGGGAAAUUUACCAAUUUUGGUGUAUGGUCCAAUUUAUUAAAUGUUUACAGUUUGUCUGUGUAUCUCUUUUCCAUAGUCUAGUAUGGUUACUCAAUAUCCUAUCUAUAGGAUACACCUAGAAUUAUCCAAGUUAGGACAUCAGAGUGUACUUCUAACCUCAAAAGGCAAGCUUUUUCCUUUGACAUUGUGUCAAUGUAAUUUAUAUAUUGAUUUUAUAAUGUAGUCCAGCAGUAGAAGGCUAUGUUAAAUGUACCUGAAGAACUUUUUUUGGUAGCAAUAAAAUAGAGUUUGCGUUUAAUUAUUAUAAUUUUAAUAAACUAUUUAAAUUCAGG